rnacentral:snoRNA from 1 species
AAGACCAUACUUUCAGGGACCACUUUGAUAGCUCGUCACUGCAGAAGUUUCUCUGAAUGUGCACAGCACCUGAAACCAGGAGGAGGAGGUGCAGUGUUCUCUCCUGA